GAUGAACGCUGGCGGCGUGCCUAAUACAUGCAAGUCGAGCGAACAGACGAGGAGCUUGCUCCUCUGACGUUAGCGGCGGACGGGUGAGUAACACGUGUAUAACCUACCUAUAAGACUGGGAUAACUUCGGGAAACCGGAGCUAAUACCGGAUAAUAUAUUGAACCGCAUGGUUCAAUAGUGAAAGACGGUUUUGCUGUCACUUAUAGAUGGAUCCGCGCCGCAUUAGCUAGUUGGUAAGUUAACGGCUUACCAAGGCAACGAUGCGUAGCCGACCUGAGAGGGUGAUCGGCCACACUGGAACUGAGCCACGGUCCAGACUCCUACGGGAGGCAGCAGUAGGGAAUGUUCCGCAAUGGGCGAAAGCCUGACGGAGCAACGCCGCGUGAGUGAUGAAGGUCUUCGGAUCGUAAAACUCUGUUAUUAGGGAAGAACAAAUGUGUAAGUAACUAUGCACGUCUUGACGGUACCUAAUCAGAAAGCCACGGCUAACUACGUG
rnacentral:rRNA from 1 species